AGCGAACGCUGGCGGCAGGCCUAACACAUGCAAGUCGAACGAACCUUUCGGGGUUAGUGGCGGACGGGUGAGUAACACGUGGGAACGUGCCUUUAGGUUCGGAAUAACUCAGGGAAACUUGUGCUAAUACCGAAUGUGCCCUUCGGGGGAAAGAUUUAUCGCCUUUAGAGCGGCCCGCGUCUGAUUAGCUAGUUGGUUGAGGUAAUGGCUCACCAAGGCGACGAUCAGUAGCUGGUCUGAGAGGAUGAUCAGCCACAUUGGGACUGAGACACGGCCCAAACUCCUACGGGAGGCAGCAGUGGGGAAUCUUGCGCAAUGGGCGAAAGCCUGACGCAGCCAUGCCGCGUGAAUGAUGAAGGUCUUAGGAUUGUAAAAUUCUUUCACCGGGGACGAUAAUGACGGUACCCGGAGAAGAAGCCCCGACUAACUUCGUG
rnacentral:rRNA from 1 species